GCGGGUUUAGCUCAGUGGUAGAGCACAUGCUUAGUAUGCACGAGGUCUUGGGUUCCAUCCCCAGUAUCUCCA
rnacentral:tRNA from 1 species